GGGGCUGAAGAUCCUCUGGAAUCUUAGCCAACACCUCAUCAUCCUUGUGAAAAUACUUCCUCAGCAUCGACACAUGAAAGACUUUGUGAAACGCACGCAUAACA
rnacentral:sRNA from 1 species